rnacentral:rRNA from 1 species
CCCUUAGAUGUCCUGGGCCGCACGCGCGCUACACUGAUGCAUUCAACGAGUUCUUCCUUGGCCGAGAGGCCUGGGCAAUCUUUUGAACGUGCAUCGUGAUAGGGAUAGAUUAUUGCAAUUAUUAAUCUUGAACGAGGAAUUCCUAGUAAACGCAGAUCAUCAAUCUGCAUUGAUUACGUCCCUGCCCUUUGUACACACCGCCCGUCGCACCUACCGAUUGAAUGGUCCGGUGAAGCCUCGGGAUUGUGACAGGCUUCCUUUAUUGGAGGUCUGUCGCGAGAACUUGUCUAAACCUUAUCAUUUAGAGGAAGGUGAAGUCGUAACA